UUGUUGGGUUAUCAUCUGUGCUUAAGGUCUUUAUCGUUUAACUCAUUCGGUAACUGAUGUUUGUCUUUAUUGAUAUGGGGACAUACAGUAAUGACAUGAACUGGUUGGUAAUUCCUUGAUUUUGCAAUAUCACCUAGGGAUAGGGGUAGGACGAUCAAUUGUGUUAACUUCUGUUUAUAAUGCGGUAUUAAUUACUAGGGGAGGCUAGGGAUAGCAAGCCAGUACUUAAUAUUAGGCUCUUUUCGCCGAGGGAUCAGGUUAAGGAUAGGCUAAGAAAGUCACAUAACAAUUAAUUAAUCAAACUAAUAUUCAAGAGGACUAGAUAAGAGAGGGUGGAUUAGAUGAAAUUGUAAACCCCCAACAACAUCCAUUCAUCCAUUAUUUUCUUUUGUCAAUUGAAUCAACUUUAUUUUGCAUGUUAAUAUUUUUGUUCUCAAAUCCAAUUUAUUAAUUUUUAUUUUCAAGUCUUAUUAUUUUAAUUCACGUGAACGAGAAAGCCUUUCGAGUCUCUUGGGAAAACGGUACCUGGUCUUACCAUUUAUAUUACUUGUACGAUUUGGUACGCUUGCCAAUUUCUCAACACUGGGACCCUAUAGUAAAGAAAGGAAUCCAGGACCAUCCAAGGUAAGGGAAGCUAACCCUAUUAUAUUUUUGCUUGUUUAUGAGGUAUAUAUAUUGGGUUAUGAGUAUCAAGGGCUAUAACAUGAAUUUGUGAAUCUCACUGGAAUGAUAUUUGUGAAUCUGUGAAUCUGUAUCAAGGAUUAUGAGUAAUGUACGGUUUGGUAGAGAACCUUACGUCAAGGGUUAUU
rnacentral:lncRNA from 1 species